rnacentral:rRNA from 1 species
AGCGAACGCUGGCGGCAGGCCUAACACAUGCAAGUCGAACGAAGUCUUCGGACUUAGUGGCGGACGGGUGAGUAACACGUGGGAACGUACCUUUUGGUUCGGAACAACUCAGGGAAACUUGAGCUAAUACCGGAUGAGCCCUUAGGGGGAAAGAUUUAUCGCCGAAGGAGCGGCCCGCGUUAGAUUAGCUAGUUGGUGAGGUAAAGGCUCACCAAGGCUACGAUCUAUAGCUGGUCUGAGAGGAUGAUCAGCCACACUGGAACUGAGACACGGCCCAGACUCCUACGGGAGGCAGCAGUGGGGAAUCUUGCGCAAUGGGCGAAAGCCUGACGCAGCCAUGCCGCGUGAAUGAUGAAGGUCUUAGGAUUGUAAAAUUCUUUUACCAGGGACGAUAAUGACGGUACCUGGAGAAAAAGCCCCGGCUAACUUCGUGCCAGCCGCCGCCGUAAGAC